rnacentral:rRNA from 1 species
AACGAACGCUGGCGGCAGGCUUAACACAUGCAAGUCGAGCGCCCCGCAAGGGAAGCGGCAGACGGGUGAGUAACGCGUGGGAAUCUACCCAUCUCUACGGAAUAACGCAUGGAAACGUGUGCUAAUACCGUAUACGUCCUUCGGGAGAAAGAUUUAUCGGAGAUGGAGGAGCCCGCGUGGGAUUAGCUAGUUGGUGGGGUAAAGGCCUACCAAGGCGACGGUCCAUAGCUGGUCUGAGAGGAUGAUCAGCCACACUGGGACUGAGACACGGCCCAGACUCCUACGGGAGGCAGCAGGGGGGAAUAUUGGACAAUGGGCGCAAGCCUGAUCCAGCCAUGCCGCGUGAGUGAUGAAGGCCCUAGGGUUGUAAAGCUCUUUCACCGGUGAAGAUAAUGACGGUAACCGGAGAAGAAGCCCCGGCUAACUUCGUGCCAGCCGCCGCCGUAACAC